UAGCUGAGUCAGUUGAGCAUAGCGCUAACAACGCUAAGGUCGCGGGUUCGAUUCCCAU
rfam:Apaloderma vittatum contig34384, whole genome shotgun sequence.